rnacentral:rRNA from 1 species
UACGUAGGGUGCAAGCGUUGUCCGGAAUUAUUGGGCGUAAAGAGCUCGUAGGCGGUUAGUCGCGUCUGCUGUGAAAACUCGGGGCUUAACUCCGGGCUUGCGGGCGAUACGGGCAGACUAGAGUGCGGUAGGGGAGACUGGAAUUCCUGGUGUAGCGGUGGAAUGCGCAGAUAUCAGGAGGAACACCAAUAGCGAAGGCAGCUCGCUGGGACGGAACUGACGCUAAGGCGCGAAAGCGCGGGGAGCGAACGAGGA